ACCCGCUGAACUUAAGCAUAUCAAUAAGCGGAGGAAAAGAAACCAACAGGGAUUGCCUUAGUAACUGCGAGUGAAGCGGCAAAAGCUCAAAUUUGAAAUCUGGUGCCUUCGGCGCCCGAGUUGUAAUUUGGAGAGACAUCUUCGGAGUAGACGCCGUCCUAAGUUCCUUGGAACAGGACGUCACAGAGGGUGAGAAUCCCGUGCCUGGAUGGCUGUUCUACUUCAUGUGAAGUGUCUUCGACGAGUCGAGUUGUUUGGGAAUGCAGCUCGAAAUGGGAGGUAAAUUUCUUCUAAAGCUAAAUAUUGGCGAGAGACCGAUAGCGCACAAGUAGAGUGAUCGAAAGAUGAAAAGCACUUUGAAAAGAGAGUUAAAAAGUACGUGAAAUUGUUGAAAGGGAAGCGCUUGAGACCAGACUCGACCAGUGGUGAUCAGCGGUGCUUCUGUGCCGUGCACUUGCCAUUGGUUGGGCCAGCAUCGGUUUGGACGGCGGGAUAAAGACCUAAGGAAUGUGGCUCCCUCCGGGGAGUGUUAUAGCCUUGAGUGCAAUGCCGCCAGUCUGGACCGAGGACCGCGCUUCGGCUAGGAUGCUGGCGUAAUGGUCUU
rnacentral:rRNA from 1 species